UUUCCGUAGGUGAACCUGCGGAAGGAUCAUUACUGAGUUAGGGUCUUUAUGGCCCGACCUCCAACCCUUUGUUUAAUCUACCAUGUUGCUUUGGCAGGCCCGCUUAGAAAUGGGCCGCCGGAGACCUUUGAGUCUCUGGUCAGUGCCUGCCAGUAGCCUUUCUAAAUUCAUCUAUAACCGUGUCUGAAUAUACAAAGAAAAAUUAAAAUAAAACUUUCAACAACGGAUCUCUUGGUUCUG
rnacentral:misc_RNA from 1 species